GACGAACGCUGGCGGCGUGCUUAACACAUGCAAGUCGAACGGAAAGGCCCUGCUUUUGUGGGGUGCUCGAGUGGCGAACGGGUGAGUAACACGUGAGUAACCUGCCCUUGACUUUGGGAUAACUUCAGGAAACUGGGGCUAAUACCGGAUAGGAGCUCCUGCUGCAUGGUGGGGGUUGGAAAGUUUCGGCGGUUGGGGAUGGACUCGCGGCUUAUCAGCUUGUUGGUGGGGUAGUGGCUUACCAAGGCUUUGACGGGUAGCCGGCCUGAGAGGGUGACCGGCCACAUUGGGACUGCGAUACGGCCCAGACUCCUACGGGAGGCAGCAGUGGGGAAUAUUGCGCAAUGGGCGGAAGCCUGAUGCAGCAACGCCGCGUGCGGGAUGCCGGCCUUCGGGUUGUAAACCGCUUUCGCCUGUGACGAAGCGUGAGUGACGGUAAUGGGUAAAGAAGCACCGGCUAACUACGUG
rnacentral:rRNA from 1 species